rnacentral:rRNA from 1 species
GAUUAACGCUGGCGGCGUGCAUAACACAUGCAAGUCGAACGAUGAAACUUUACUGACUUCUUCGGAAUGAUUUAAAGCGGAUUAGUGGCGAACGGGUGAGUAACGCGUGAGUAACCUGCCUUACACAAGGGGAUAGCCUCUGGAAACGGAGAAUAAUACCCUAUGAAACCAGACAAUCGCAUGAUAAUCUGGUCAAAAUGUUUAGUGGUGUAAGAUGGACUUGCGUCUGAUUAGCUAGUUGGUGAGAUAAAAGCUCACCAAGGCAACGAUCAGUAGCCGGCGGGAGAGAGGGUACGGUGGCAUUGGGACUGAGACAAGGCCCAGACGCGUACGGGAGGUAGCAGUGGGGAAUUUAGCGCAAGGGGGGAAACGCUGAUGCAGCGAGGCCGCGUGAAUUAGAAGGCCUUUGGGUUGUACAAAUCUUUUGUAUAGGAAGAAAAUGACAGUACUAUGCGAAUAAGGUCCGGCUAAUUACGUG